AGUAGAAUUGCUGGGUCAUAUGGUCAUUUUAUGCUCAACUUUUUGAGAAACUGUCAAACUGUUCAUCCAAAGUGGUUACAUCAUUUUACAUUCCCACCAGCAAU
rnacentral:pre_miRNA from 1 species